AACGAACGCUGGCGGCAGGCCUAACACAUGCAAGUCGAACGAUAAGCCACCUUCGGGUGGUGGACAGUGGCAGACGGGUGAGUAACGCGUGGGAACGUGCCUUUCGGUUCGGGAUAACCCAGGGAAACUUGGGCUAAUACCGGAUACGCCCUCCGGGGGAACGAUUCAUUGCCGAAAGAUCGGCCCGCGUCGGAUUAGCUAGUUGGUGGGGUAAAAGCCUACCAAGGCGAUGAUCCGUAGUUGGUCUGAGAGGAUGACCAGCCACACUGGGACUGAGACACGGCCCAGACUCCUACGGGAGGCAGCAGUGGGGAAUAUUGGACAAUGGGCGCAAGCCUGAUCCAGCCAUGCCGCGUGGGUGAAGAAGGCCCUAGGGUUGUAAACCCCUUUCAGCGGGGAAGAUAAUGACGGUACCCGCAGAAGAAGCCCCGGCUAACUCCGUGCCAGCAGCCGCCGUAA
rnacentral:rRNA from 1 species